UGCGUCCCAGGUGGCUGCUAGUGGUAAAGAACCUACCUGCCAAUGCAGGAGACUUAAGAUUCACGGGUUCAAUCCCUGGCUGGGGAAGAUCCCCUGGAGGAAGAAAUGACAACCCACUCUAGGACUCUUGAGUGGACAUGAUUGAAGUGACUUAGCACACAUGCAUACAGGUCUCCCUAGUGGUAACAAGUCAAAAUAGAACAUGCACAAGCCACGCACAUAGCAUUCCACAAAUGAGAGGAGCGGGAGCUGAGGUGAAGCCUGCUUAGUUCCUGCCCCAAGCUCCUCAGUCAGGCAAGUCACACCUUCUCCCGCAGGGAGGAGCAAGCAAAUCCAACCAAGAGAGGCCAGGAGGGCUUACUCUACAGAAAUAAAUCUUCUCACGGAAUCGGAAGUCCUGACAUCGAGGUUCCUUGCUAGCAUGAGGAUGAGGUGGACAUUAAGGAUCUGUUUUGGAAGGCACAAAGAGAACCGCGACUGUUUCUUUCUCUCUGCCUUCCUAUUAUCACAAUUCUAAUCCUCCUGAAGGGACAGUUCUGUCACUCAUCAGGAAAUGGUCGCACAC